GGCAGCAGCUACGUAUCCUGGCGAGGGAUGGUGUGUGACGUCACGGCUGCAGUGGCUAAUUAUACGGAAGGUAUGUCAGUCUCACUCCCAACAAACUGUCACAAGACAUAGGACGCUUUCCUCUCACGACUGCAGGUAUGACGAUGAUGAUGCCACAUGUGAUGUUAUUCCUCGCCCUUGUUUGCGGUGCAAGCCUUACACGAGCCACUCCGGUGUUCGCUCAUCCUGAUAUUAUCCAGUUCCUUUCCUUAGAAGAACGCUGUCUAUUCCUCUGCAAUAUUUGCUUUGACCAAAAAAUCCAAUUGAUGGGCGUUUGUGCCAACACAGUCUGUCCGAAAAUCGACAUGAACUUCUUCGGGGUAAACCAAUGGAUCUCAAAACGGUGUCAAAACUACGAAAGUCUACAGACCGCCUUCUUCCCUAAGGACACACAAACUCAGAUCUAAUGAAACGAUAAUUCGCCAAAUCGAGGCUGUACAUUUCAUGAGUGACCGUUAAUUCCUCUAUACACAAAACAGUCUGAAACAAUAUACACUAUUAGUCCGAAAUUACUUCCCUAACACAAAACAAGGAUUUUGUUUUUCUCUCCCAGACAGUGAAAUUGGUAGCGUAUUGCCUGGUUAUAUUAGGACGAUCUCAAUUAAUGCAAAGUGUCAGAACAAAUGUGUAAGUUUAUUAUAAAAGACGGGUUUAAUUAGGCUAAUAUUCUUGUUAAUUACACGUGUUAUGUAAUGUUAAUGUAAAGCCAGACAUAUAGGUAUGAAGUAGCGCCUUAAUGAUGACCCAGAACACCGGUAUACCUAUAUAAACGUGGGUAACGGUAUCCAAUGACGUGUGUACUUAUGUUUCAGCUAAGAUAGUGUGUAAGUUCCCCUUAUCAUUUCAAAAUGAAUGUUUCAUGUUUGAAUUGUUUAUAAACUUUUUAUGAAGCUCA